GCUUAACACAUGCAAGUCGAGGGGCAGCAUGGUCUUAGCUUGCUAAGGCCGAUGGCGACCGGCGCACGGGUGAGUAACACGUAUCCAACCUGCCGUCUACUCUUGGACAGCCUUCUGAAAGGAAGAUUAAUACAAGAUGGCAUCAUGAGUCCGCAUGUUCACAUGAUUAAAGGUAUUCCGGUAGACGAUGGGGAUGCGUUCCAUUAGAUAGUAGGCGGGGUAACGGCCCACCUAGUCUUCGAUGGAUAGGGGUUCUGAGAGGAAGGUCCCCCACAUUGGAACUGAGACACGGUCCAAACUCCUACGGGAGGCAGCAGUGAGGAAUAUUGGUCAAUGGGCGAGAGCCUGAACCAGCCAAGUAGCGUGAAGGAUGACUGCCCUAUGGGUUGUAAACUUCUUUUAUAAAGGAAUAAAGUCGGGUAUGGAUACCCGUUUGCAUGUACUUUAUGAAUAAGGAUCGGCUAACUCCGUGCCAGCAGCCGCGGUAAUACGGAGGAUCCGAGCGUUAUCCGGAUUUAUUGGGUUUAAAGGGAGCGUAGAUGGAUGUUUAAGUCAGUUGUGAAAGUUUGCGGCUCAACCGUAAAAUUGCAGUUGAUACUGGAUAUCUUGAGUGCAGUUGAGGCAGGCGGAAUUCGUGGUGUAGCGGUGAAAUGCUUAGAUAUCACGAAGAACUCCGAUUGCGAAGGCAGCCUGCUAAGCUGCAACUGACAUUGAGGCUCGAAAGUGUGGGUAUCAAACAGGAUUAGAUACCCUGGUAGUCCACACGGUAAACGAUGGAUACUCGCUGUUUGCGAUAUACUGCAAGCGGCCAAGCGAAAGCGUUAAGUAUUCCACCUGGGGAGUACGCCGGCAACGGUGAAACUCAAAGGAAUUGACGGGGGCCCGCACAAGCGGAGGAACAUGUGGUUUAAUUCGAUGAUACGCGAGGAACCUUACCCGGGCUUAAAUUGCAGAUGAAUUACGGUGAAAGCCGUAAGCCGCAAGGCAUCUGUGAAGGUGCUGCAUGGUUGUCGUCAGCUCGUGCCGUGAGGUGUCGGCUUAAGUGCCAUAACGAGCGCAACCCUUGUUGUCAGUUACUAACAGGUUCCGCUGAGGACUCUGACAAGACUGCCAUCGUAAGAUGUGAGGAAGGUGGGGAUGACGUCAAAUCAGCACGGCCCUUACGUCCGGGGCUACAUACGUGUUACAAUGGGGGGUACAGAGGGCCGCUACCACGCGAGUGGAUGCCAAUCCCCAAAACCUCUCUCAGUUCGGACUGGAGUCUGCAACCCGACUCCACGAAGCUGGAUUCGCUAGUAAUCGCGCAUCAGCCACGGCGCGGUGAAUACGUUCCCGGGCCUUGUACACACCGCCCGUCAAGCCAUGGGAGCCGGGGGUACCUGAAGUGCGUAACCGCGAGGAGCGCCCUAGGGUAAAACUGGUGACUGGGGCUAAGUCAUA
rnacentral:rRNA from 1 species